rnacentral:rRNA from 1 species
UGAGGAAUUUUGCGCAAUGGGAGCAAUCCUGACGCAGCAACGCCGCGUGGGUGAUGAAGGCCUUCGGGUCGUAAAGCCCUGUCAGGUGGGAAGAAUGUCCCGGGACUGAACAGGUUUUGGGAGUGACGGUACCACCAGAGGAAGCACCGGCUAAAGCCGUGCCAGCAGCCGCGGUAAAACGGAGGGUGCAAGCGUUAUUCGGAAUUCCUGGGCGGAAAGCGCGUGUAGGCGGUCCUGCAAGUCUGAGGUGAAAGCCCCGGGCUUAACCCGGGAAGUGCAUUGGAAACUGUGGGACUUGAGUACUGUAGAGGAUGGGGGAAUGCCCGGUGUAGAGGUGAAAUUCGUAGAGAUCGGGAGGAAUAUCAGUGGCGAAGGCGCCCAUCUGGACGGUAACUGACGCUGAGACGCGAAAGCGUGGGGAGCAAACA